GGCAACCGCGGGACUCCUGGAGAAAUGGUGGGCGGUCCAAACGGAACAACUGACUUUCCUCUAGAGGAUUUGAACUGGAGGAGGCUUGAAGUUGAACAAUGGAACUCUCAGUACCAACUUCCCUUUACAGUCUGAUCUCAGAAAUCUGACAGCCAGUUGUAUUCCCCCAGACCCUCUACCUUCACCUGUACUGAGGUUGUCCCACAUGGCAGUUUCAGGCGCAAUUCUUCUGGAGAUGACAAAGGGCAGGAAGGUGCUUCAGAUUCAUGUUUCCAUGUGAUGUUUUUCUUCCAUCUGAAAAACUACUUUUUGUGAGAGGAAGACAUGAUGGCAGGUCUAGCUGUCAAGCUGCUUGGAUGGCCUUGGAGUCAGAAUCUGCAGGAACCACAAGAGAUUGGAUGAGAAGCUGGGGGCAGAGUUCUAACAGCAGCCCAAGCCUCCACAGUGCCAAGAUGGGCCAUCUGCCUGUGAGAAGGGAAAGCUUCCACUUCUCUUAGCAAUGACUCUGGCUUAUUUCUAAUUUAGCAGAAAAAAAAAAAUGAUUCAAGCAAUAUCAUGUGCUUCUAUAUCUUCAAAGCAAUACCACACCAUCAAUUAGCAGCUCAGCGUACCAACAGUUCUAAACUUUUUGCGAGCUUCUUGGAAACAAGAUGUGGAGCUUCAGCAGAAGAAAAUUGAGGCAAACAUGCUGCAGUUGCUACAGGCAAGGCAAACGGGAUUGCUAUUCUUCUACUCAAGAACUAAUUUUCAUUUUGAUACUACCUUGACGUCUGUUAUAAAUCCAUCUUAUCUUAUAACAAUUCAAUAGGAUGACAAAGAGAUAUGCAAAGCCCAGGAAAUAUGGCCUUCCCACUUCUGCUACUGCCAUUGGAAGACACAGAAAUAAAGCAUUAAGUGGCCUCAACAACACAGAUCAUACCAGAGGAAUCCAAAUAAUUUAGAGCCUGUGAAUGUUAAUGCCUUCCUGGUUAUUAGGCAACCGUCUGUUAUUGUCAUAUGCCUUACAGAUGGCAACAUUGUGCCAAUCCUUAGAAGAAGUUUUUGGGAAAUAAUAGGAAAUAAAUAAAACAAAAACUAAUCAUCUUUGCAAAAA
ensembl:lncRNA CFAP20DC-DT CFAP20DC divergent transcript